CCUACGGGGGGCUGCAGUCGAGAAUCUUCCGCAAUGGACGAAAGUCUGACGGAGCGACGCCGCGUGCGGGAUGAAGGCCCUUGGGUUGUAAACCGCUGUCAGAGGGGAUGAAAUCUUCGGAGGUACUCCUCCGAAGUUGACAGAGCCUCAAAGGAAGCACGGGCUAAGUACGUGCCAGCAGCCGCGGUAACACGUACUGUGCGAACGUUAUUCGGAAUCACUGGGCUUAAAGGGUGCGUAGGCGGCGAUUCAAGUCAGAUGUGAAAUGCCUGAGCUCAACUGAGGCAUUGCGUUUGAAACUGAACCGCUAGAGUAUUUCAGGGGUGUGCGGAACUGCCAGUGGAACGGUGAAAUGUGUUGAUAUUGGCAGGAACACCGGAGGCGAAAGCGGCACACUGGGGAAUAACUGACGCUGAGGCACGAAAGCCAGGGGAGCGAACGGGCUUAGAUACCCCGGUAGUC
rnacentral:rRNA from 1 species